rnacentral:rRNA from 1 species
UACGUAGGCAGCGAGCGUUGUUCGGAAUUACUGGGCGUAAAGAGUGUGUAGGCGGUGCUCUAAGUUCGGUGUGAAAUCUCCCGGCUUAACUGGGAGGGUGCGCCGGAAACUGGAGUGCUCGAGCGUGGGAGAGGAAAGCGGAAUUCCUGGUGUAGCGGUGAAAUGCGCAGAUAUCAGGAGGAACACCAAUUGCGAAGGCAGCUCGCUGGGACGUUACUGACGCUGAGGCGCGAAAGCGUGGGGAGCAAACAGG